CCUACGGGAGGCUGCAGUGGGGAAUAUUGCACAAUGGGGGAAACCCUGAUGCAGCAACGCCGCGUGAAGGAAGACGGUUUUCGGAUUGUACACUUCUGUUCUUAGUGAAGAAUAAUGACGGUAGCUAAGGAGCAAGCCACGGCUAACUACGUGCCCGCAGCCGCGGUAAUACGUCGGUGGCAAGCGUUGUCCGGAAUUACUGGGUGUCAAGGGAGCGCAGGCGGGAAGCCAAGUCAGAUGUGAAAACUACGGGCUUAACGUGUGGACUGCAGUUGAAACUGGUUUGCUGGAGUGACGUAGAGGUAGGCGGAAUUCCGAGUGUAGCGGUGAAAUGCGUAGAUAUUAGGAGGAACAUCAGUGGCGAAGGCGACCAUCUGG
rnacentral:rRNA from 1 species